UUCCGUAGGGGAACCUGCGGAGGGAUCAUUACUGAGUUACCGCUCUAUAACCCUUUGUG
rnacentral:rRNA from 1 species